AAUGUACUUGGUUAUUUUCCAUUGUAACUUUGUAUGUCUGCUGUUUGGUGCGGGUUGUGUAUAAAGGGUUUAUUGGAGCUUUUUAACUAAAAACUACAGUGGCCCUGGAAGCUCAAUGCACUGCAACUUAGAAAACACAUGCUAUUAGACAAAACAAAAGAAAAUAAAGAAAACAUCCUCAACAAUUUGACAACACGUGCAGUAUUUUGAAAAAAAUGCUGCAAAGUGAGAAAACACAACACAAUAGAGAAAAGAGCUGCAAAUUCAGAAAACACACCCAAAUUACCUUACCUUACAUAUUUUGGGUAUAUGCUGCUGUUAUCAUAUGUAUAUACUUUGUGUAGAUUAUGGUCCAUGCAUGAAGUAUAAUUCAUCUGCAGUUGUUCACAUAUAUAAUGAAAAAUCUUCAGGGUAUUUCCUAAUUUCAUUGUCCUAAGACGUUCAAUGCAAUUCAGCACACCAAAGUAUCAGCUUGCUCCAGUAUCCAACUUGUACAAUAAAAACUGAAUCAGGAAGUCGAGCACUGGAGACAGAGACACCUUGCCUUCAAAGUAAAAGUUGCAUGUUGGCUGCAGCUCAAUUUAAGGAGAGCUAAACUAAAUAAAUAAACAAAUAGCCUAAAUAAUGAACAUAAUUCAUAACUUCUUUUACACACUUUGGAGAUGAAACUAUUUAAAAGCCUGGGGAUUUUCAAAGUAAAUGCACACUGAGCCGCUGCGGUCAUUUAAAGUCCAACUUUUAUGUGUGUUUGUGGUCUUGUUGUGUGCAUGACUUUAUCAAGUUAACCUCUCCAACCAAACACUGUUUAAAUUGUUUACCUGGCCAACAGCAUAGCCAACUGUUAGCUUCAGAAGAUAGCCAAAGCUAGCAAUGCUUAUUGGUUUGUAGCAUUGACUGUAUCCUGAGCUCCAUCAGCGCUGUCAGGACAUUUUUAUUUUUAAGUGGCUGAAAGUCCAAGAUAAGCCUACCACCCCAUACCCACUUUAUCCCCCCAAUGUCUGACUUACAAUUUCGCUCUUGAUAUCAUUCAAUGUCAAUUCAAUAUCAUUUAAUGCCUCACAAGCUUGAAAAUUUGAAGAGAGAGAGAGAGAGAGUGAGAGAGUGCGCUUCAGUUACCAUCAACUCUCUGCUAAUAAUUUCACUCUAACUGUAUGUGGCUAUAAGUGCCAGUGUUUAUGAAUUGGACUGUUUUUGCAGUGAGGCUCAUUUGCAUAGACAGGGGACAAUUUUGCACCAAAUAUGUGCAUAAUAUCAAAUUUACAUACAUGCAAAUAGCAAAGGAGCACCGAGAUGCUAUUUACUUGGCAGUGCAUUUUGGAGUGCAUUUUAUUCUUUGCAGGUGCUUUGUGAAUUAUGCGGUUUCUUUUUGUCUCAUUUGCGCAGAUGUUUUGUGAAUUCACCCCUGAAUGUAAUGUACUGGAAACCACGCCCACGGUGGCCACGUGACCACGUCCACCACCAACUCCCAUGUCCCAAACUUCAUCCUUUCUCAUCUGUUCACCCUCGGGUCCACCAUGGGUAGGCUGAUGCAUAAACUCACCCUUUGACUACACCAGGAUAACCUGCCAGAAACUAGCAGCUGGGAAUUUCAGGGCUGGCAAGAUGUACCAGCACUCAGGCUUUAAGGAGCAUGGAGAGUUUCCAGAGAACCAGAGUAGAGAGCUUGUGGGACACCAGGGAAGACAGUUGUGGAUAGAGUAUCGCUCACCUCAGAUGCUUUUGUUGGGUUUCACGUCUGCUUUCUGAGUCCCUAACUGUACCUAUCAAGACUGGCUUUCACAGUGCAAAGGAUAAAGACACACAUGGUGCUGGGUCUUUAGUAAUUGAAAAACUAAUAAUAAAUUAGUUUAGAAUUAGUAUUAAUCAGUGAUCACAUACACAGCCUGGCCUAAUCCUUCUGUAAGAAAGAAUGUAGUGAUCCAGAGAGGCACCACGCAGUUUAAUGCCAAACGUUUUAACAAAGUAUGACAAGAUAUUUGGUUGUACAAAAAACUGUAAAUAAGAAGUAAGAAAUCCAUGACACUUCAAGUCCUGAGUGUAUUGAAUACACAUUACAGCAUCUGUACAUGAAAAAAUUGUACCUUGAUUCAGUUUUGGAUUUAAGCGCUGUCUUUAAUUUAGUGGAUGGUUAGAAGAGAUAGUUAAUCUUUACACAGUGCACACAUGAAACAUGUACAGUAGCUCAUACUGGUCCCAUAAAAUGAAUUCUUCAUCAUAAAUCAUCGUGGUAUUGUUUUGUUGGAUUUGUAUUCAUCAGUGAUGGUGUACGCAACAUGGUAUAAUUCUGUCAGUAAAAAAAUGCAACAAUUCAUGAAAUAAAGUUAAUUUUACUUGUGUAUUGUGCCCCCUCCUGCCAUUGUUGGAGAUAAAAACAUCAGUCUAUUAAAGGUAAAGUCAGUGAUUCUAAUCCAAUACACUUUUUGUCAAUUUCAGCAAAUAUCUCCGUUAGCUGUCCAUUCUGUGUGUGCACUGAAAAAAAAUCCAGUGUCCAUACAUAGCACUGGCUCUGUAAAUGGACAUGUAAACACAACCACAAGGGGACGUUUUUACUUGUACACAGGACAGGGAAGUCAUCAGAGCAGCUGUCUGUGUGAGGACAUUUUUGGGGGUUGGAACUUCAAAAUGAGCACAAAGGAGGGUGUAUUUGUUUGAGUGUUUAGUUCAAAUAUCAACAAUCUUUCUCCAGAAUGACUGACUCUACCUUUAAAAGGCUAAAUAAGUGGAGGGGCUUAUAAAUACCUGCUAACUUAAAGAAAUAAUGUGUUGAAUAAUGUUUUUUCCCCCUUAAAAUCAAAUAAAGGAUGUUUAUAGAUUGUAAUGAAUCAUGCGUGGUAAUUAUAUUAACAGUAAGUACACAAAUAAUUUAUUGUAAUUUGGAAUUUUCACUGAAUUAGCUCAGUAACACAUUACGGCAUUUUGAAACUGAAGGAACUGUAAGUUAUCAUUUUACAUUCUAAUGUUUCUGUUUGAGGUAAGUUUCCACGAAAAUCCAAUGGAUGUGAGUGUCUUGCCUCUUUCCCGCUAACAUCAACAAACUACCAGCAUCCACCACAACAAAAAUGGUGCUAUCCGAGUAGAAACACCCUGCAGACAUUAGCUCUCCAGCUAAAGUGACAGCUAGCUGCCUCCGUCAACCACUACACAUUUCACAACAAAACACCCCCACAAUGACAAGUUGCCCACUCCUGAGCACACAAAGCUAAAACAACAUUAUUUUCUCAACAAAGGAGCAGAAAACAAGCUCCAAGCAACAGAGCUUACCCAUUUUGUAUUUUCUUUUGGUUGUCUUAAGUUGGUAUAAGGACAUGGAUUUGAAAUGAAACCAUCACUAUGAGAUUAAUCUUUCUUCUUUACUAUGAUGGUGUGUACAUCCACAGAUGAACAGUGUAGGAAUUGUGGCUUUAGUUUUUACUUGUAACUUAAGUCCUUCGAGUUUAGUGGACCAAAGAUCAUUUGACCAAUUAAAACAAACUUUAGUCUUGAUAUCUUAUACUUGGUGUCAUAUUGUUUUCAGUCAUUGACUGUCUGAACCUGAACUGCAAACUUUUGCCUUCCAUCUGAUUUUUGGUGAGUGAUACACUGUGCAGCUGGACUGAGGUCAGAUGAAUGACUAUGCCAGUCAAGAACAUCCCAUUGCUGGGUCA